GGUGACAUGAGGGCUAUCCUGAUAUGAAUAAUAAUAUGGCUAUGUCCUCUCAUUCGUACAUCUAAAAAAGAGAGCAGUCUCAUCUAGCUAGGUCAUGGCUGUUGUCACGGCAACUUUUGCACCAGUGGAGACAUAUGUAGUGUCCCUCUGCCAUCAUGGUCCAGACAUUAUAUAAAACAGAUGUCAUUGACUAAGUACUAUUCAGUCAAUUUCUAUUUUGCAGGUGAUGGCAGCUCGGAAGCAUGCAGACAAUGUUGGUUG
rnacentral:lncRNA from 1 species